rnacentral:snoRNA from 1 species
ACUCUCCAAUGUCCUUAUCUAUCAGAUCUAAACACUGGUCUGAGUGAUUAUAAAAAGAGGAAAAGUAAAAUUGAAACUUACUUCAAUUCUUUUGUGAUGCAUUUGCUAGUUUCCAAUAAGU